rnacentral:lncRNA from 1 species
CCCCCGUCAGGCUGCCGCAGCUGGCGGCGGCGGUGGGGCUGGUGUCGGAGAUCAGCCAGCAGCUGGGGCAGCGCCGGCGCGAGGCCGAGGCCGAGAUCGGCAGCACCUUCGAGGAGCUGGAGGCCGCGCUGCGCCAGCGCCGGGGGCUCCUCGUCAGGGACCUGGAGGCCACCUGCGGCGCCAAGCAGAAGGUAACGCUGUGGGCACCACGGGCACCACGGGCAUGAGACACCGUGGCCAAUGGGACACCAUGACCCACGGGGCACCAUGACCCAUGAGAUACCACGGCCAUGGGGCACCAUGUCCACAUGCCACCAUGGCUACAGGGCACCAUGGCCACAAGACAGCAUGGCCACGGGGCACCAUGACCCACAGGGCACCAUGGGCACAGGGCACCAUGGCCACCAGCCACCAUGGCCACAUGCCACCACAGCCAUGGGACACCACAGGCACGAGACACCAUGGCCACAGGGCACUAUGACCCAUGAGACACCAUGGCCAUGGGGCACUGUGGCCACAAGACACCAUGGCCAAUGGGACACCACGGCCACGGGGCACCAUGGCCACAGGACACCAUGUCCAUGGGCCACGGUGUCCCCAUGCUGCCAUGCCUCACACCACCAUGGCCCUGUGCCACCAUGUCCCUUGGCCACCAUAUCUGUGUGCCUCCAUGUCCCCCUGCUGUCACUGUGGCCACGGGACACCACGUCCCCCUGUCCCCGUGCUGCCAUCUCCCCAGGCUUCAUGCCUGUCCCCGUGUCCCCGUGUCCCCGUGUCCCCGUGUCCCCAAGCCGCCAUCGCUCCCCUGAGCCCCCGCCCAGGGGAGGUGGCCGUGCCGAUGGCUCCCUGGGCUGUGGUGGGGGGGCUCUGGGACCCCCCACCCCGGGAGUGACAGUGCGGGGUCCAGCUGGGGGUGGGGGUGCUGAGGGUCCCAUCAUGGUGCUGAGGGUCCUGCAGGGUGGCGGGGGUCCCGUUGUGGUGCUGAGGGUCCCAUGAGGUGUUGGGGGUCCCGUCCUGGUGUUGGGGGUCCCGUUGCAGUGCUGGGAGUCCCAUGCAGUGUUGGGGGUCCCAUCGUGGUGCCAGGGUUCCUGUUGUGGUGCUGGGGGUCCUGUCCCGGUGCUGGGAGUCCCGUUGCAGUGCUGGGGGUCCCACAUGGUGCUGAUGGUCCUGGUGCAGUGUUUAGGGUCCUGUUGUGGUGCCAGGGGUCCCGCAUGGCACUGAUGGUCCUGGUGCAGUGUUAAGGGUCCUGUCCCGGUGCUGGGGGUCCCGUUGUGGUGUCGGGGGUCCUGCAUGGCACUGGUGGUCCUGGUGCAGUGUUUAGGGUUCC